GAUGAAGAACGUAGCAAAAUGCGAUAAGUAAUGUGAAUUGCAGAAUUCAGUGAAUCAUCGAAUCUUUGAACGCACAUUGCGCCCGCCAGUAUUCUGGCGGGCAUGCCUGUUCGAGCGUCAUUUCAACCCUCAAGCACAGCUUGGUGUUGGGACUCGCGUUAAUUCGCGUUCCCCAAAUUGAUUGGCGGUCACGUCGAGCUUCCAUAGCGUAGUAGUAAAACCCUCGUUACUGGUAAUCGUCGCGGCCACGCCGUUAAACCCCAACUUCUGAAUGUUGACCUCGGAUCAGGUAGGAAUACCCGCUGAACUUAAGCAUAUCAAUAAGCGGACGA
rnacentral:misc_RNA from 1 species